rnacentral:rRNA from 1 species
CAGUCGCCGCGGGAAUACGUAGGGUGCGAGCGUUAAUCGGAACUACUGGGCGUAAAGCGUGCGCAGGCGGUUCGUUAAGACAGAUGUGAAAUCCCCGGGCUUAACCUGGGAACUGCAUUUGUGACUGGCGAGCUAGAGUAUGGCAGAGGGGGGUGGAAUUCCGCGUGUAGCAGUGAAAUGCGUAGAUAUGCGGAGGAACACCGAUGGCGAAGGCAGCCCCCUGGGCCAAUACUGACGCUCAUGCACGAAAGCGUGGGGAGCAAACAGGAUUAGAUACCCCGGUAGUCCCUGUCUCUUAUAA